rnacentral:rRNA from 1 species
CUCGUAGGCGGCCAACUAAGUCGGAUGUGAAAUCCCCAGGCUUAACCUGGGAACUGCAUCUGAUACUGGAUGGCUUGAAUCCGGGAGAGGGAUGCAGAAUUCCAGGUGUAGCGGUGAAAUGCGUAGAUAUCUGGAGGAAUACCGGUGGCGAAGGCGGCAUCCUGGACCGGCAUUGACGCUGAUGAGCGAAAGCGUAGGGGAGCGAAACG